GUCAGACCUAGGCUCUCGCAGAGAACUGCAUCGCGCUCCCAGCUCUGCUGCCUCGGUGCGGGGACGGGGCUCUGCAUGAGGACUGGGAAUGUAAGUCCCGGGCCUGGACAGGCGCCCCUGGGAGCUAGCCUGGAGGAGAUUCAGUAGAAGGCUGAGGAGUCGGCUUGGAGGGUCUCGGCAAGGCGGCGCGGAUGGAGAUGAAGCUGCGAAGAAUGCUGAGAAAGAGCGGCCGGGGGCCUUGGAGGGAAGCUAGGGAAACGCUGCGGGGGCAGCCGAGGCCGUCGGCGCCCCGGGAGAAGAGAAAAGCAGCCUGAUUCGGAGGAACGGGUUGCUUGGGGCGGCUCCCAGCUCGAGUUGUGGGCCCCGCCGCGGGUGCCCUUCGGAAACGCGCUGACACCAGGCGAAGCCGCCUCUGCCCGGACGCAGCCCGACACUUGGCCCGCGGGGUUCCCCGGGACGCCUGAGAGUAAUGGGCGCGAGGGGGAAAGCCGAACGGCCUCCCUGUGCCCGGCGCAGGCGGUGCCCCCUAGCUGGGUUCGCCGCGGCGGCGCUGCGAGCCCCCGACAC
rnacentral:lncRNA from 1 species